rfam:Pteropus alecto contig100938, whole genome shotgun sequence.
GGCUCCAUAGUGUAGUGGUUAGCAUGUCCACUUUACAUGCAGAAGAUCCUGAGUUCAUGCCCCAGGUGAAGCCA